GUACCUGGAAAAUGCAACAGCUAUUGGCCUGUUCUGAGGCGACUGGACAUCGUAUCUGACAUCAAAGCUUCCAGAGGUGGUCUGGACUAAGUCACCUGUUGCCACCCACAAAGCAUGACCAAAUAAGCUUACUUUCAGGCAAGUCCAUGGAAACUAAAACGCAAGAUUCAGAUCUCCUCCACUAAGGGUUAUGGGGAGGAUGUUCUGACUGGCAGUUGUGUGUCCUGAUUGUGUUGAAUUGAAUAGCAUAUUAACCACUUGGUAGAGUCUUUUUUUUUUUUUUUUUUUUGGAGUCAGAGUUUGGCUCUGUUGCCCAGGCUGGAGUGCAGUGGCAGGAUGUUGGCUCACCACAGCCUCCACCUCCUGGGUUCAAGUGAACCUCCCAUCUCAGCCUCCCAAGUAGCUGGAACUACAGGCAUGUGCCACCAUGCCUGGCUAAUUUUUAUGUUUUUAGUAGAGACAGGGUUUCGCCAUGUUGGCCAGGCUGGUCUCAAACUCCUGGCCUCAAGUGAUCUGCCUGCCUCCUCAGCCUCCCAAAAUGCUGAGAUUACAGGCGUGAGUCACUGCGCCUGGCCCGCUUCAUAGAGUCUUAGGAAAAGGGGUAGCAGAACCUGGACGUGAGGCUCCACAGGACUUGCUAGUUGUACUUAGCUACAUCCUAGUCCCUUCUCUGCCCCCACAAAGCCCAGCAGAGGCGACCAUGGCCAUCUUGGAGCUAGUUCUCAAUGUGGGAAAAAAUCAGUUCUAUGUCAAAAAUCUUCAGAAAAUGAGAGACGAGACCUGAGUCUUCAGGCUUACUUUCAUGUACGGAGAUGACAUGCUUGCACUCAACUUAUCGGUGAGUGGGAGGGCAAGUCUCUGCGUGGGAAGAACAAAUGGCCCCUCCCCAAGCAGGCUGAGCCAUCGUCGCCGGGCCUUGAACCCCUAGCUGAACACACACGCAGGCAGAAACUGAUUUCCCCUAAAACAGAGUGCUGCCAAGACCCCCGAUGCUCCAGAAUGGCCAUCAGUGCCGGGCCCCACCCCCAUCCUCUCCACCUGAAUGGGCACUGGCUGGGGGCCCUGUGCUUCACAGCAUUUCACAGAACAUAAGAAGAGUUAAGUGCCCUGGAAAUGGAACUAGAGGCAGGACAGAAGCCUCAAUAAGGCCGUGGGCAGUGAGCGCCCGCCAGCAAGGAUGUGCCUCGGCAGAAGCCCCCUGGGGCAGGGACAGGGCAGGCUCAAGACAGGCCAGGUCCCGUUCUUCAGGAAGCCGUCCCAGAUUGCCAGCAUGAGCCUGUAUGCUCACUCACCUCUUCUGCUAGGCUAGGGCUGCUGUGGAAAGCUCCAAAGUGGCCCGUUUCUUCACCAGACCCUUCUGGAGAGCUGCCCACCCAGGGGCUUCACCGCAAGCGAAAUCAACACGAUGCCCAACGGGCACGUCAAUAUGUGCAAAGCACUCAAAACCGUCUUCUGUAACUGGGAGUUAGACAUGAGGGCCAGCCACAAGAGCUCCCCUGCUGAGACACAGUGAGCUCCCUCACACGCUCACUGUGAGUAUUCAAAACUCCAUUUAAACUGACAAUCCUGAAAGCUGUUUACAUAUCUGUUCUUAAAGACUAAAUCUUUAACUUUCCCAAUUCUGUCUCAUGAGCUCAAUGAAAGAAAUCUUUUAGUAAAAUGCAGAAAGUAUCCUCUUUCACACACAGGACAGACAGCACAGCUUGCAAAGACCGAUCACUUCCUCCCACCAAGACAAGCACUGGCCUGGGCUGCGCAUGCAGGGGAGGAGGCAGGGCCCUGGUGGCCCCACAGCGUGCAGGGUGGGAGGCGGGGCCCCAGGGAGAGUCCCGCUGCCUG